rnacentral:rRNA from 1 species
GACGAACGCUGGCGGCGUGCUUAACACAUGCAAGUCGAACGGAGAGGCCUGCUUUCCCUUGUGGAUUGCGGGUACUCGAGUGGCGAACGGGUGAGUAACACGUGAGUGAUCUGCCCCCAACUUGGGUAUAAGCCUGGGAAACUGGGUCUAAUUCCCGAUAGGACUGCAGGGUGGUGCCUGUGGUGGAAAACGAUUUUCUAGUGGUUGGGGAUGAGCUCGCGGCCUAUCAGCUUGUUGGUGGGGUAAUGGCCUACCAAGGCGGCGACGGGUAGCCGGCCUGAGAGGGUGGACGGCCACAUUGGGACUGAGGUACGGCCCAGACUCCUACGGGAGGCAGCAGUGGGGAAUAUUGCACAAUGGGCGGAAGCCUGAUGCAGCGACGCCGCGUGGGGGAUGACGGCCUUCGGGUUGUAAACUCCUUUCGACCGCGAGGAAGCCACCUGGUUGGAAGGGUGGUGACGGUAGUGGUGGAAGAAGCACCGGCUAACUACGUG